GGGCGAUUAGCUCAGUUGGUUCUGAGCAUCCCGAUUGCAUCGGGAGGGUCGGGAGUCCGGACCUCUCAUCGCCCA
rnacentral:tRNA from 1 species